AGACCCGAAACCCGGUGAUCUAGCCAUGGGCAGGUUGAAGGUUGGGUAACACUAACUGGAGGACCGAACCGACUAAUGUUGAAAAAUUAGCGGAUGACCUGUGGCUGGGGGUGAAAGGCCAAUCAAACCGGGAGAUAGCUGGUUCUCCCCGAAAGCUAUUUAGGUAGCGCCUCGUGAAUUCAUCUCCGGGGGUAGAGCACUGUUUCGGCUAGGGGGCCAUCCCGGCUUACCAACCCGAUGCAAACUGCGAAUACCGGAGAAUGUUAUCACGGGAGACACACGGCGGGUGCUAACGUCCGUCGUGAAGAGGGAAACAACCCAGACCGCCAGCUAAGGUCCCAAAGUCAUGGUUAAGUGGGAAACGAUGUGGGAAGGCCCAGACAGCCAGGAUGUUGGCUUAGAAGCAGCCAUCAUUUAAAGAAAGCGUAAUAGCUCACUGGUCGAGUCGGCCUGCGCGGAAGAUGUAACGGGGCUAAACCAUGCACCGAAGCUGCGGCAGCGAACGUAUCACCCAAGACAACUUUACGGAGUUGACGAUUGACGGAGCGAAGCGACGUCAAAGCGUUCAUUAAAGUCGAGUUGGCUUAGGGAUACGUUCGU
rnacentral:rRNA from 1 species